ACACAAUACAUGUAGCACAGACAUUUCCCGAAAUAGUGUUGGUACUCCUGUCACUUCCUACUUGUGAACAUAUAAGAAAGUGUGUUGCCAUUGGGAAAUUGCUGGACGUACAUCCUGAUGCUUUGAAGUACAGUUUAAAAUAUUUUGAAAACAAUCCAGCACCUUGGGAAGAAAUCAAAGAUGUAGAAGAAAUACCCAAGAA